UCUGCUUAGCUGUAGUUACAGGAAGGAGUGAGUUUAUCCAGCAAACACAGGACCGAGGCUAUGGUGGGGAGAUCAGGAAAGGAAGCAGAGGGUGUGCAGUUCUCUCGAUGGGUAUGUGAUGGCGAAAGCAGUCAAGACCUACUUCCCAGGUAGCCCCAGAUUUUUGUCAGGGGCCGGAGAAGAGUGAGUGCUGUGUUCUUCGUUACUGGAUAUUAGACAACUUAGAUUAGAUAAAUUAAAUAAAUUUAUUAUUUAGUAAAUUAGAUAAAUUAAAGUGGGUUUAGUUCAGGAAUAAAACCCCUCCUAGACAUUGGUGUCUGGGGACAGCCUGAAUGCAUCUACUACUGAAGAACUGACUAGAAUUGGAAAACGGAGAACAGGAGACCCACUAAGGUGGGUCCCAAACAUCCAUAUGGAAAGGGUAACUGAAGUUGGACUUCUUCACACUCCAUCGGGCUCUUGCCCAAGUGCUCAGGAGGGAGAAUGGGUAUGCCAGGAGCACUCACUGAUUACCUGGAGGAGCCCUCACUGAUUACCUGGAGGAGCCCUCACUGAUUACCUGGAGGAGCACUCACUGUUUACCUGGAGGAGCACUCACUGUUUACCUGGAGGAGCCCUCACUGUUUACCUGGAGGAGCACUCACUGUUUACCUGGAGGAGCACUCACUGUUUACCUGGAGGAGCCCUCACUGUUUACCUGGAGGAGCCCUCACUGUUUACCUGUCACUUGCAGGGCUUAGGUGAGAAGUCUGGCCUGUGUGGUCCACAGUGCACCCUGGCACAGCGUCCGUAAGACCAGAUAUUAUUUAUUUGCCUUUUAUAACCUCAGUUUUAUUGUCUGAAUAGGACAGAAAUAACAUCUGAGAAACAAAACCCAGAAAACAAGCACAGUCACCAAAGAGGAGAACUGUAACAAAGGUCACUAUGGAAGUGUGUGAGGACUCUAGCAGGUUUAAAAAGGUAAAAAUGGCCAGUGAGACCCAUCAGCUGUGGACGACUAAAGUCCAUGGAAUUUUAAAGAGCUCAUAGAUGAUGACUUUCCAAGGGUAGGAAGAAGUGAGUGGCUGUGUUUGCCUGGGUAGUUUAAGUAAUCCAAAAUAAAAAUCAAAAGAAAUGGGUAUAUUUACAAAUACCAAAAUCUAAAAGUAGCCCAUGGGAGAGAGUCAAAAGUCGCCACACAUACCUUUGCCCUGAAUAAAGCAAUUCAAAUCCUUCACUGAUGUUAUGAAAAGGCAAGGUGUGGGUUAUCAACUGGCCCAGGUCAAAUUUCUUUUCCAGGAAUUCAGUCACCAAUUUGGGAACAUCAUCUCUGCUCUUCCAACCUGUGGGUAAAUGCAGGUUUGUUCUUUGUACUCCAUGAAGCAAUCCUCACCUUC